GACGAACGCUGGCGGCAUGCCUAAUACAUGCAAGUCGAGCGAACAGAUGAAGUGCUUGCACUUCUGACGUUAGCGGCGAACGGGUGAGUAACACGUAAGGAAUCUACCUAUAAGCGGGGGAUAACAUUCGGAAACGGGUGCUAAUACCGCAUAAUAUCUUCUUCCGCAUGGAAGAAGAUUGAAAGACGGCUCUGCUGUCACUUAUAGAUGACCUCGCGGUGCAUUAGUUAGUUGGUGGGGUAACGGCCUACCAAGACGAUGAUGCAUAGCCGACCUGAGAGGGUACUCGGACACAGUAGGACUGAGACACGGCCCAAACUCCUACGGGGGGCAGCAGUAGGGAAUCUUCCGCAAUGGGCGAAAGCCUGACGGAGCAAAGCCGCGUGAGUGAAGAAGGCCUUCGGGUCGUAAAACUCUGUUAUAAGAGAAGAACAAAUUGUAGAGUAACUGCUACAGUCUUGACGGUAUCUUAUCAGAAAGCCACGGCUAACUACGUGCCAGCCGCCGCAGUAA
rnacentral:rRNA from 1 species